rnacentral:rRNA from 1 species
ACUCCUACGGGAGGCAGCAGUCGAGAAUCAUUCGCAAUGGGCGAAAGCCUGACGGUGCGACGCCGCGUGGAGGAUGAAGGCCCUAGGGUCGUAAACUCCUGUCAUCAGGGAGUAAGAUCUCGCGUAGUAACUGACGAGGGAUUUGAGAGUACCUGAAGAGGAAGGGACGGCAAACUUCGUGCCAGCGCCGCGGUAA